rnacentral:rRNA from 1 species
CGUGUAGGCUGCGAUGUAAGUCGGAUGUGAAAGCCCUCAGCUCAACUGAGGAAGUGCAUCCGAUACUGCGUCGCUUGAGUGUCGGAGGGGGUGGCGGAAUUCCCGGUGUAGAGGUGAAAUUCGUAGAUAUCGGGAGGAACACCUGUGGCGAAGGCGGCCACCUGGACGACGACUGACGCUGAGACGCGAAAGCGUGGGUAGCAAACA